UGUCACACCCUAGCGUCCUGGACGCUGGGGUCCCCCACCUGGCAGACGGGAGCAGUCAUCCUGAGGAAGAUGAAACUGGGGGAAUAACUGGUGUGUUUGCUCUAUUGAGAGGAGAUUUGAACCGCUGAAGGAGAGUUUGGGGCUAGAAGAAGGAUAAAUACCUAGAAAACUGAUCAAGAGGAAAAUAGGCGAGGGGCUUCCCUGGUGGUCCAGUGGGCAGCCCCUGCCCAUCACCGAGUCUCCUCGGCUGCUCUCUCGCCUCUGGUCCCAGACACUCCAAGGAUUCCCAGGGGUUUGCUUUCCACCAGGCACACAAUGGGAAAAGGAACCUGAUCGGCAGCCGUGGCAAAUCCUUACCAUCGCGCCACCACCUCUGCUGAAUAACCCAGGACCCCACGGCCUCCCGCAGCUCACGACAGGCAGCUGGGUGUUUGUGCAGGUGCCGACGUGUCCCCAGAUCCUACCACUGAGAAACUGGAACGCAAAACCAUGUGCACUAGGAUUUCCCGCUGUGUACUCAGACAAGCUCUGAAGGAUGGGACAGCUUGAAGGAGGGAGGCACCUGUCUUCUGAAGAGACGGGCUCCUGGGAUCACCGCCGCUUUGGUCUCCUAGGGCCACGUGUGCGGUCAGGAGGGAGCGGCCCUGCGUGUAAAGUGCUGGGGCGCCUGGCACGGCAGGCCCUGGAGCCGGG